rnacentral:rRNA from 1 species
UGGGGAAUUUUGGACAAUGGGGGAAACCCUGAUCCAGCCAUCCCGCGUGUGCGAUGAAGGCCUUCGGGUUGUAAAGCACUUUUGGCAGGAAAGAAACGUCGCGGGUUAAUACCCCGCGAAACUGACGGUACCUGCAGAAUAAGCACCGGCUAACUACGUGCCAGCAGCCGCGGUAAUACGUAGGGUGCAAGCGUUAAUCGGAAUUACUGGGCGUAAAGCGUGCGCAGGCGGUUCGGAAAGAAAGAUGUGAAAUCCCAGAGCUUAACUUUGGAACUGCAUUUUUAACUACCGGGCUAGAGUGUGUCAGAGGGAGGUGGAAUUCCGCGUGUAGCAGUGAAAUGCGUAGAUAUGCGGAGGAACACCGAUGGCGAAGGCAGCCUCCUGGGAUAACACUGACGCUCAUGCACGAAAGCGUGGGGAGCAAACAGGAUUAGAUACCCUGGUAGUCCACGCCCUAAACGAUGUCAACUAGCUGUUAGGGCCUUCGGGCCUUGGUAGCGCAGCUAACGCGUGAAGUUGACCGCCUGGGGAGUACGGUCGCAAGAUUAAAACUUAAAUGAAUUGAC